rnacentral:rRNA from 1 species
UACGAAGGGGGCUAGCGUUGCUCGGAAUCACUGGGCGUAAAGGGUGCGUAGGCGGGUCUUUAAGUCAGGGGUGAAAUCCUGGAGCUCAACUCCAGAACUGCCUUCGAUACUGAAGAUCUCGAGACCGGAAGAGGUAAGUGGAACUGCGAGUGUAGAGGUGAAAUUCGUAGAUAUUCGCAAGAACACCAGUGGCGAAGGCGGCUUACUGGUCCGGUUCUGACGCUGAGGCGCGAAAGCGUGGGGAGCAAACAGG